rnacentral:rRNA from 1 species
UGUUGGUCUCAACUCGGAGAUCAGUGUCGAAGCUAACGCGUUAAGUUCGCCGCCUGGGGAGUACGGUCGCAAGACUGAAACUCAAAGGAAUUGACGGGGGCCCGCACAAGCGGUGGAGUAUGUGGUUUAAUUCGAUGCAACGCGAAGAACCUUACCUGGCCUUGACAUGUCUGGAAUUCUGCAGAGAUGCGGAAGUGCCUUCGGGAAUCAGAACACAGGUGCUGCAUGGCUGUCGACAACACGUGUCGUGAGAUGUUGGGUUAAGUCCCGCAACGAGCGCAACCCUUGUCCUUAGUUGCCAGCACGUAAUGGUGGGAACUCUAAGGAGACUGCCGGUGACAAACCGGAGGAAGGUGGGGAUGACGUCAAGUCAUCAUGGCCCUUACGGCCAGGGCUACACACGUACUACAAUGGUCGGGACAGAGGGCAGCAAGACCGGGAGAAGGAGCCAAUCCCAGAAACCCGAUCUCAGUCCGGAUCGCUUUCUUCAACUCGGGAAAUGAAGUCGG